rnacentral:rRNA from 1 species
GGAAUGUUGGGUUAAGUCCCGCAACGAGCGCAACCCUUAUCCUUUGUUGCCAGCACAUUAUGGUGGGAACUCAAAGGAGACUGCCGGUGAUAAACCGGAGGAAGGUGGGGAUGACGUCAAGUCAUCAUGGCCCUUACGAGUAGGGCUACACACGUGCUACAAUGGCGUAUACAAAGAGAAGCGACCUCGCGAGAGCAAGCGGAACUCAUAAAGUACGUCGUAGUCCGGAUUGGAGUCUGCAACUCGACUCCAUGAAGUCGGAAUCGCUAGUAAUCGUAGAUCAGAAUGCUACGGUGAAUACGUUCCCGGGCCUUGUACACACCGCCCGUCACACCAUGGGAGUGGGUUGCAAAAGAAGUAGGUAGCUUAACCUUCGGGAGGGCGCUUACCACUUUGUGAUUCAUGACUGGGGUGAAGUCGUAACAAGGUAACCA